AUGUUAGGCCGUGUGGUCGACGCCUUGGGAGUACCUAUUGAUGGAAAAGGGGCUCUAAGCGAUCACGAACGAAGACGUGUCGAAGUGAAAGCCCCAGGGAUUAUUGAACGUAAAUCUGUGCACGGCCCUGACUCCAUCAAUAACCUUGUGAUAGGAUUUCUGUAUUGGAAACAUAGCUGUCCCCCUUUGCCAAAACAUGACUCUUGCGAUGAUUGA
rnacentral:rRNA from 1 species